AUGGCGCCCGUGCAAGGAGCUCGCCGACGACAACCAUGGCGCCAGUGCUGGGAGCUCGCCGGUGACGACCAUGGCACCCGCACAAGGAGCUCGCCGGCGACGCACGAGAUUAGGAAAAGAAGAGAGAAGGCUUUUGGGCUGGGAUGCCCAUACCCCCAGGUCUCGCAUAGUCUUCUGGUAUCCCUCAAAAGAAAAAUUAGUCUUCUGGUAGCUGUCCCGUACGUCUCCUCUAGUUCGUCCAGAGAAAGAGGUUUUCGCCGCCCGCCGCCGCCGCUUCUCCGGUCGUCCCGUCCCUCUCAAGUCUCAAUGUCGGGGGAAAAGACGGUGUCUUUUUGCACCACGGAUAGUGUGCAGGGCAGCCACGUGUUCAGUGUUUCCGGGUACAGCAAGCAAAGGGGCAUGGGCGCCGGCAAGUUCAUCAGAUCCGGCGGCUUCUCGGUCGGAGGCCACGACUGGGCCAUCCGCUUCUAUCCCGAUGGGUUUAACGAUGAUUACCGAAUUUACAUCACAGUUUACGCCGAGCUCUUGACUAAGGACGCCGAGGUGCAUGCAUCCUGCGACCUGAGGCUGGUUAAUCAGACCACCGGGUUAUCCUCUUCCCUGGACAAGACGGAACCAAGGCUGUUCAACCAGACCAAUCUCAGCAGGUUUGCCCCACAAAGGGCCGACUUCAUGGCAAGGAGCGAGUUAGAAGCAUCAGCCUACCUUCGGGAUGACCACCUCGAGAUAGAAUGCAUCAUCACUGUCAUGAAAAAAGCACGGGUAUCUGAAACCAAGGUGCCCCUGUCCGGCAUCGCUGCGCAGCUCGGCAAGCUGUUGGAGGCAAAUGAUAUUCCGGAGGACAUCACAUUCAGCGUCGGAGGUGUGGUUUUCGGAGCACACAAGAGCUUGUCCUUGCUAUAA
rnacentral:rRNA from 1 species